rnacentral:rRNA from 1 species
GUGUCAGCCGCCGCGGUAAUACGAAGGUGGCGAGCGUUGUUCGGAUUCACUGGGCAUAAAGGGCGCGUAGGCGGUUCCGUAAGCAGCGUGUGAAAUCCCACGGCUCAACCGUGGAACAGCGCGCUGGACUGCGGUUCUCGAGGACCGGAGGGGGGUGUGGAACUCUCGGUGUAGCGGUGAAAUGCGUAGAUAUCGAGAGGAACACCGGUGGCGAAAGCGGCACCCUGGCCGGUUUCUGACGCUGAGGCGCGAAAGCGUGGGUAGCAAACAGGAUUAGAAACCCUUGUAGUCC